rnacentral:pre_miRNA from 1 species
UCUCAUGGAUGAGCAAAGAAAGUGGUUUCCUGAGAUGGAAUCUAGUCCCAUUGAAGAUGCUGCAAA